rnacentral:rRNA from 1 species
UACAGAGACUGCAAGCGUUAUUCGGAUUCACUGGGCGUAAAGGGUGCGCAGGCGGCCGUGUGUGUGAGGCGUGAAAGCCCGGGGCUUAACCCCGGAAUUGCACCUCAAACUACAUGGCUAGAGCAUUGGAGAGGGUAGCAGAAUUCAUGGUGUAGCAGUGAAAUGCGUAGAUAUCUGGAGGAACACCGGUGGCGAAGGCGGCAUCCUGGACCAACACUGACACUGAGGAGCGAAAGCCAGGGGAGCAAACGGG